UGGCAUUUUAUGGUGGAGUAGAGGUUGAUUUUGGGAGGGAAUCGUUCUAAAUACUCUACUUUCUUUUGGACACGGGAUCCGUUUGUUAUUCGGGUCGAAAUCCUGAAUUCGGGUCAAGCAUGACGGAUAGUUUAUAUGUCUUUUUUUCUCAUUCCUCUCUCAGACACUUUACAAACCCUAAAAAAAAACAAAGUUGCAGCCUAUACCAAGAUCCUCAGUUCCACAAGAUCACGACAUCGUUGAUGCUCCUCCUAAAAUUCUCAACAAUCAAAAAUCCCUCUCAAUUUUGCACAAUCUUCUCCCGAUUUCAUCUAUACAACAUAUGUUUUGGCUUGGCCGUCCUUCAGAUCUAAGUAGUGACCAACGGCCAUCUGGUUGCCACCGGAAAAGCUUAACUUCCCCGAUGAUGACUGCAUUGGUACCAGAUGGGCGAUAUUGAUUUGGCUACUGGAAUUACAAGCAUCAGGCGAUUGUUAAUGAAAAUGAUAUCAAAUGAUUUGGUUACGAAUUACGAUCAAAUAGGAAUGCUGAUAUGUUGUUUGGAAGAAUUACAAUUGUGGGUGGAAUUAAGGGGACGUCAGCAACAGAUUUUAUCAUAAAUCGCAUGAGCUCGAAUGAUAAGAGUUUCAGCCAUGUAGUCCUUUUACUAACUUUCCAGUUAUUUUUAUUUGUGGAGCUCACGGCUCAAGUUGAUGAUUUGCUUAGGAUGAAAACAAUUGAUAAUUGCUUCAUCCAUGAUACUCUUAAGGAAAUUCAUUGGUAACGUUGUAACCUUUCUUUUCAAAUGAUAGAUCUGAAUAAUAAAAAGGAGAAGGUAGGUAUGAUAUGCAACUGGUGUGAGAUUGCAAGUUGGAUGCUAAGUUGGGGUUUAAUCACCCCACCCUAUCUAUUUAUUUUCUGAAUACUGGUCAAUUUUACUAUCGGUCCAAACAUGGUGCCGAAUUGACACUCAAAAACACUUUUUUUGUCAAGAUUUAAUACAAAAUAAUGUGUUAUAUCCGUUAUUAUGGCCGUUCACUCCAUUUUGCAAGGAAUCAAGAUUUCAUAACCACCAGGAAUUGCAUCAACAAUCAUCAAGAAUCAAUAUAAUCCGUGUUAAUCAUCAAUUCUUGCUUCCAAUUUCUGAAUAUAGAUGAUCUGCCAUAUAUAUUUCCCUUGAUUUUCUCCAUCGAUCAAUGAUUCUGCGAAACCCUAAUUGGCGUUCAGCGUUCUCAUUCCCCAUUUGUGAUGACGGUCGCAAGGCGGUUUCAGAGUCUACGUUGACGCUAAUAUCUUCACCUAUACAGAGAUUUCUUUCUUUUCCACGAGGAUCCAAUCUCUUGAAGUCAAAAUCAAGACCAAAACCAAGGAUUAAAUGCCGAUAUACUCUUGUGCAUUGUUGUUCUUUCUACAUAGGCAGCCUGCUAACGAGUUCUUGAAAAAAAAAAACGCAACUUACGCGCCAUGUAGGUGGCCUUCAAACAGUUAAAGGCAGAAAACCAGUGGUACGAGAGGCUCACUUGCUUACCACUUUGCCAUCCCCUUGAAGUUUACCUUUCUACUUUUCCAUAAUUCGUUUAUUUGUUUAGUUUUUGGCAAACGGAUAAUACAAGUUGCAGGGAACACGAUUUGUAGAUUUUUUUUAUGUUAAAGAAGUAUGUUGAUGUUGCAGGUAUUGGUGGUUUUGCAGUGCAGCAUCUUAAACAGACAUGAAUCAAAAUUUUACAAAUACUUCUGCUUCCCAAGUAAAUAAAAGUACACUAAUAGGUAAAGGUGGCAAUACGAACAUUUACUUAUAAACAGAUUGGUUCGAUUAAAUUUGACACGAACCCAAUUGAUACUUUAUUGAAAUGGUCCGUUUUGACCCGUUAGUUUAUAUGGCCCGCCUGCCCGUUUCGCAAGGAUUAUUUCCUAAUAACAUUGCAUUUGAUGUUUAAACGAGCUCUUUUAACUCAAGCCCAUAUGGUUCUGAACCCGUUUUCCCUUGCACCAAAUUUGAUACUUUUUUGAAACAAACAGUUUUGACUCGCCUGUCUUGCCAGCUUACUUUUUGAAUUAUAUUGUUAAAGACUUACUGAUCGACACGGCAAAUCUACCUGGAUUUUCUGGAAAUUCUUCUGUCUUGAAAACAGGUGGUGAGCUAUAGAAAUUGCAUUCAAACAACACGUACAUACCUAAAUAGACUACAAUUCCCAGAAAACAAGUUUAAAAUAAUUCCAGUUUAUCAUUUAAUGUUGAUCAUGAGGGGUCACCAUCCUCAUCAACUUCGUCUGCUGUCUCACUAAAUCAUUUUAGUGGGCAUUUUAGAAGCAAGAACAGUUUUGAAAAGUUGUUUUCAAGGAGAAAGAAUGGAAUUUAAGGCGAAAGUCAUCAUGUGUAAGAAGUUGUGGAUUAAAAAUGUGUUUUGUUGUAGUGAGCUUAUUAGGCUGUUGGAACACAUUUUUUAGAUUUGAUAUGGCAAUAAAGAAUAUUUUUCCUUCAAAACCCUUCAAGAAACUUUUUGCCAGCAUGUGAUUCAAUCAUCAAGAAUAUUCUAUGAUUCAAUGAUCAAGGGUGUGUGAUUUGAGCUGUUGAUGGUGGUUGGUUCAGGUUCAGGGAUGGUUAGAUUUGAGCUGUCGAUCUCCUAAAAGCUCUGCAUAUAGGUACUCUCCCACCACAACUAUUGCAUAGUCGAAUUUAUUAGAUUUCAUAUACUUUUCCAUCACUACGAUUCUCGGAUCGUGAUCAUAGCCAUUUGCCAGCCGUUCGUUCUAUCGCUACCGAUUCAACCAGUCUUCAUUAGGCUCAUUAUUUCAGGUAUGUUAAUGUAUUUAUUUUUCUACGAUUGGGUUAAACCCAGAUAGGUCAUAUUUUACUUAUUGUUUUCACUUUCAAAAAAACAUCUGUGCUUUUCAAUUGUGUUGGGACUUCAGUUCCUCCGUGGCUAGCAUAAAUUUUUGGUUUUUAAAAGAGAAUUAUUGAACGGUAGCAUAAGCACUUUUUAUAUACACACAUUACGCACCGAUAAAAAAAAAUGUGUAUUUUUAUAUGCACACAAUAUGUUGAAUGUUAUAAGGAAACCUCAAUAUUACAUCAUUCUAAGAGGAUGCUAUUGAUUUUGAGCAUUUUGAUGUAUUUGUUUUCGUAAGAUAUUUACAUUACAUUUAUACUUUUUUUGUAUCACACAUGGCAUAUUUUUUUAUUUUUUAUAACACAUUGGUAUCCUUAUUCCAUAGUUAUCAAAGGCGCACUCAAGGAGAUUUGUUGGGCCCGAGGCUUUAUUUGCGCCUUGGCGCGCCUGGGCGCUCGCUUUAAUAACUAUGACAUGAACUAACCUAAAGCAUAGUUAUUAAAGGCGCGAGGGUGCACUCAGGGCGAUUUGUUGGGCCCGGGGCUUUAUUUGUGCCUAGGCGCGCCUGGGCGCUCACUUUAAUAACUAUGCCUUAUUCAUUUAUCAAGUUUGUUACAUUGGCAGGGCUCGGCUUAUAACAACACUGGCUUGAGGGUGUCUUCUAAGUUGCCCAGAUACAUAGAUACAUGAUACUUUCAUGAUAGCCAACAUUGAUCCUAAUCUAUUUUAGCAAAGCUAACUAUUGAGUUUACCAAAAGUCUCACAUAAUGAUCUAUUUCUCUCUACACAUUAUUAUAUCUACUAUCUACUUGAUAAAUAAAAUCUUUUGUGGGACACGUGUCACUUGAUGAGGCUUUCAGAAUUAUUUUUUUUUUCGCGUAAUGUCCGAAUAGGUAUAUGACCAACCCGCUUUAGCAAAAAAACAUACUGAGAUAGGCAAAUGAAGUUCAUGUGUAAAUAGUGACAUGGCCAAAGCGGGUGGGUUGGGGACGCUUAAACUAGCCCGGGUUGACCUACACCCUUUUUUUCGUUUAAAAAAAAGUUAGUUUUUGUGACGCAGAGACAUGUGUAUUUUUCUCAUGUCUUAAACGUUAAUGUAACCGACUUUUAUUUUCAGAUACUAAUGUUUGGUCUUAUGCAUUUUCGGUUUUCCUAUAGCUUUCUACUUUGAUUCAUGAUUUAUUUUGUAAAUGAAAUCACUUGAAGUUUCAACCAAUUGUUUAGUUUUUCGCGUGAAAUUUGGGGACUUGGGAUUAAACUCACAUUGAUUGUUUAUUUGCUGAUAGGUAUUGCUGGGUUUGGUGGUAAGUGCAGGUUAUUGGACUUGAGUUUGACUUGGAUGAUGGCUAGAAGCUUGAAGUUUGUUGCUGAUGCGUAUGAAAGUCGAUAGAGUUUUGAAGAUUGAUGUUUUUUGUUUGAACUGUAUUUUGUCUUGAUUUUGGUUGUUUUCGUUUGUUUUUUGUUUGGAUUUUGAAUAGGUUUUAUGUUUGUAAUACUUGGGCUGUGCGUGGUCGCGAGUAGAGUUAGAAGUAGUAAUUGGUAUUGGUUAGAGUGGUUGGGGUA